GCCCCCGUAGCUCAGGGGAUAGAGCAACGGCCUCCGGAGCCGUGUGCGCAGGUUCGAAUCCUGCCGGGGGUACCA
rnacentral:tRNA from 1 species